GAUGAACGCUAGCGGCAGGCCUAAUACAUGCAAGUCGAACGGGAUCUGAGGGUAGCUUGCUACCCGAUUUGAGAGUGGCGCACGGGUGCGUAACGCGUGAGCAACCUACCCAUAUCAGGGGGAUAGCCCGAAGAAAUUCGGAUUAACACCGCAUAAUAAUACGCUAACACAUGUUGAUGUAUUUAAAUAUUUAUAGGAUAUGGAUGGGCUCGCGUGACAUUAGCUAGUUGGUAAGGUAACGGCUUACCAAGGCGACGAUGUCUAGGGGCUCUGAAAGGAGAAUCCCCCACGCUGGUACUGAGACACGGACCAGACUCCUACGGGAGGCAGCAGUAAGGAAUAUUGGUCAAUGGGCGAAAGCCUGAACCAGCCAUGCCGCGUGCAGGAUGACUGCCCUAUGGGUUGUAAACUGCUUUUGUUAGGGAAUAAACCUUCUUACGUGUAAGGAGCUGAAUGUACCUAAAGAAUAAGGAUCGGCUAACUCCGUGCCAGCAGCCGCCGUAA
rnacentral:rRNA from 1 species